rnacentral:rRNA from 1 species
UAGGGAAUCUUCGGCAAUGGACGAAAGUCUGACCGAGCAACGCCGCGUGAGUGAAGAAGGUUUUCGGAUCGUAAAACUCUGUUGUUAGAGAAGAACAAGGACGUUAGUAACUGAACGUCCCCUGACGGUAUCUAACCAGAAAGCCACGGCUAACUACGUGCCAGCAGCCGCGGUAAUACGUAGGUGGCAAGCGUUGUCCGGAUUUAUUGGGCGUAAAGCGAGCGCAGGCGGUUUCUUAAGUCUGAUGUGAAAGCCCCCGGCUCAACCGGGGAGGGUCAUUGGAAACUGGGGGACUUGGGUGCAGAAGAGGAGAGUGGAAUUCCAUGUGUAGCGGUGAAAUGCGUAGAUAUAUGGAGGAACACCAGUGGCGAAGGCGGCUCUCUGGUCUGUAACUGACGCUGAGGCUCGAAAGCGUGGGGAGCAAACAGG